UCCAGCAGUUAUUUUUUAACAAGUGUAUAAAGUUGGCAAUAGUCCCAUCCUCGCGUAAUCAUUUUUUAAAGGUGAGAGAUGCGGCUUCGCGUCACGUGCUUGCCGCUAGACCAAUGAGAUGGCAUAACGUCGGAACGACAUGUAAACAUGGUCCAAGAUGGCAGCGCCCUUGUCGUCACUAUCGAGUAGCGAAGAGGAUUAAAUUAUUGUCAGACCUCCACCAAAAGUCAGUAAAAGGGUUUAUAACCAAUGCUAUAUGCAUCUCACGUCCAUAAAAAAAGAAGAAGCGAAGGAUUUUACACGCACACGGUGGGAUACAUUUAGAAACUGCAUCAAACGGUGGCUUGACUUGCAGGGUGAGAGUCAGAAAAUAGCAGAAACAUAUAAACAUUGUCUAGAAAUCGAGUUUGACCGUGUGCCCGAAGACGCAGGGUUUCACUCCAUUUGCUACCGGCGUUUUAUUGACAAAAAGCGCUUGGAUGCGGCCGAGAAACGAGUUUCACGGCGUCCUGAAGCUGGUGAUGAUCAUAACACAGACCAGUCUGUGUCAUCGGGAAAUAGUAUUUCGUCAACGUAUUGCCCAACAAAAAAACUUAGGUCCAGUACCGGACUGCUGAUAGCUUGUUCGGGUCCUGUACUUCCUGCUUUGUGCAUAAUUUGCAAGAAAACGGACAAGUACAUCACUGUGGCAGGCAAACGCCAGAAGGACAAUCUUUCACAAGCGGAGACGCUGUCGGCAGGUAUAAAGCACACAAGCACACAUUUGAACUUAAAGUUAUAUGCCAUAUGCUGAGAACCAUAACUAACUUUCAAAUACAUCAAUAUUUACAUUACAUGUACAUUAUAAUGUUUAUAGUGCAGUCGGUUUUUGCAUACACAUAUGCAUGAACAGUCAGAACUGUUAUGUUUUUUUAAAUACAUAUUUAUUACAGGCCAGUUGCUCAAAGCAGCUGAGAUGAAGGAAGACACUAGCAUUCUUGUGCAUAUUAAAGACAAAGACUGUGUCUCUGGAAGUAUGAUAUCACAAGUCCUGUUACAGACAGUACACCAGGUUCUUGACAAAGUCUACUGGAACAAAUACACAGACCUCAGAAGAACAGUAAGUUGUUAUAUUGCAUUUUAAAAUAAUUCAUAAUUGAUUUGAAUGAUUGCUAAUUUGAAAAGAAAUUAAUCAUUAAUCUACAUGGACAGCUUGUUACAAUAAUUCAGCAUAAUAAAAUGUCUAGUCAUUUGUGAGGGCAAAAGAAUAUUUAAAAUAAUUUAUUGUAAAUAUUUUCUUUCUGAAGAAUAAAAAAAACUCAAUUGGUUUGUCAGUUGCUUUUAGUUUGUACAUGCAUACAAUAUAUGCAUUCCAAAUAUAGAAGCCAGUGUAAUAGUUACAGAACAUAAAAUAUUUGAUGCUUUUAAUAGCAAUGAGCCAACCUAUGAUGUCAGCUACAAGAUCUUCUCUGAGAGAAUCAUCUGCCAUCGAAUAAUUGUAAACCAAGAGGUAAAAAUUUAUGGACGGGAUCAAAAGACACCAACACAAUCGAAGAAGUUUCUGUCGGAUGGGACAAACAAAGAAGCACUGGCAGAAUUCCUCUAUGUAAUGUGGCGAGACGCUGAUCUUACCAUUUUAGGUAAGGACUUACAUUUAUACAUAACACAUGGAGACCUGUGUCACUGCAUGGCUGUAACAGAGGAUUUACAAACUGUCAGUGAUGUUGAAAAUCUGACAUGUGAUCAUGAGGAAUGUGACACCAGGUUGUUUUUUCAUGCAAAACAUGCUGCACAGGAACACCAAACUGUAGUCAUCAAGAGCCCUGAUACUGAUGUGGCAGUGAUUGCAUUAAGUCUGCAGCCAGAUUUACCAUGCAGAUUGUAUUUUUUCACUGGGGUUGGCAACAAAACGAGGAAGGUGUCAUCAGCUCUCGGCAACAGUGUAUGUUUGGCACUCAUUGGGAUCCAUACCUUCUCAGGCUGUGACUCUACAAGUGCCUUUUAUGGCAAGGGGAAAAAAAGUCAUUUUCUGUUGCUUGCGAGAAAGAGGAAUACCUGACUGCAUUUAGAAAUCUGGGUAGCAGUUUUAAUUUGGACCAGUCUACCUUUGAAGUGCUUUGCAAAUAUGUCUGUCACCUAUAUGGCCAAUCAUGUGCUAAAAGUCUGAACGAUGCACGAUGCAAAGCAUUCUGCAUGGCAUCAUCAGCUUUGCCAGAAUGAUCCAUGCCUCCGACAAGUGAUGCUUUGUACCAACACUGCAAAAGGGCAAACUACCAAGCAGCCAUAAUGAGACAUUCUCUGAAAGGUAAAAUGUGUGCCCCUUCACCUGUUGGCAAUGGAUGGCACCUCGAGGAUGGAGAGUUAACAGUGACGUGGAUGACUAGAAAUCCAGCCCCUGAUAGUGUGUUGCAGGUUGUCCACUGCAGUUGCAAGCAAGGCAAAUGUGAGACUGGAAGAUGUUCCUGUAUGUCUGCAAAUCUGUCCUGUACAGAUUUAUGCCGCUGUCUCAAUUGCACAAAUGUUUUCCAGGAAACAGAGGAAAGAGCUACAUGUGAAGAUGGUUCUGAUGAAAGUGAUAAGGAUAGUAGUGAUGAGUAAAGGUGAUCUGUGUCACAGGUUACUUGGAUUUGAGCUGUAAUGAAGCUGCUGUAAAAUGUUUAAUAUUUGUCGUUAUUGAAAAAUUAGUGCAGCAGUCCAGCAUUUCAAGUCAUUUCAGCCAACUUGGACCAAAAACUGUUUUUAUCUUUAAUUUUGUGUGAUUCCUAAGUGCCUACUGAACAUUUUGAUAAAUACAACAUAACAAAAAUGUUUAAGUUUCAAUUUGUUCUUCAGUUUUAUUUGGUGCCAAUCAGUGAAGUUGAAGUGCGUUAUAAAAAAAAAUUGAAUUAUUUCAUGGUCUUCCUUCAAAAUUGAGUUGAUUAAUGCACCAAUACUUGUCUCAGAUAUGUAGCUACAUGUAUAAAUGUGGAUUUGACAUAUAUUUUGUUUUGAUUAAAUGCGUAUUAAUAAAGUUAUAGGCCAAACUA